UCAAGUUUGGUUGAAGGAACAGGGUAGA
rnacentral:piRNA from 1 species